rnacentral:rRNA from 1 species
CUUAAAAUCUAGCUUUACUGUAUCCCAUGCAUCUCUAAACUAUUGCCCUCUUAUAAAACAUUUAAACAUCUUAGUACAGGAGAUUGAAAAAUUACUAAACGCUUCAGACAAAGUACCGCAAGGGAAAAAUGAAAUAAAAAUGAAAUAACCUUAUGCCCCAAACAGCAGAGACAUCCCCUCGUACCUUUUGCAUCAUGGUCCGGCCAGUCUAACCAAGCAAAAUGAAACCUUAAGUUUGACACCCCGAAACUAAGCGAGCUACUUCAAAACAGCCCAAGGGCCAACCCGUCUCUGUUGCAAAAGAGUGGGAAGAUUUUCAAGUAGAGGUGAUAAACCUACCGAGCUUAGAGAUAGCUGGUUGUUCAGGAAAAGAGUUUAAGCUCUACCCUAAGUUUCUAUGUUACACCUAGCACCCUCCUAAACUUAAGAGCUAUUCAAAUAAGGUACAGCUUAUUUGAAACAGGACACAACCUCCUACACCGGGUAAGCAAGAUUCACCUAAACAAAGUGGGCCUAAAAGCAGCCACCUUUAAAAAAGCGUUAAAGCUUAACUUUCUCCAUCUACAAUCCCACAAUUUAUCCUUAACCCUUCAUCCCUACUGAACCCUUUUAUAUCUAUAUAAAAAUUAUUAUGCUUGAACUAGUAACAAGAAACAGCCUUUCUCCAAGAUGUAAAUAUAUGUUAAAACGGACCCUCCAUUAACACUUAACGCGAAUGCAAAUUUAUAACAACCCCACCCACUAGAAAAUCCUAUAUCCUCAUGCGUUAACCCUACACCAGAACAUCACAGGAAAGAUUAAAAGAAAAAGAAGGAACUCGGCAAGUCCUAACCCCGCCUGUUUACCAAAAACAUCGCCUCUUGAUAAACAUAAGAGGUCCAGCCUGCCCAGUGACAAUAUUCAACGGCCGCGGUACCCUAACCGUGCAAAGGUAGCAUAAUCACUUGUUCUUUAAAUAAGGACUAGUAUCAACGGCAUCACGAGGGUUACACUGUCUCCUUUUUCUAAUCAGUGAAACUGAUCUCCCCGUGAAGAAGCGGGGAUGAGAUUAUAAGACGAGAAGACCCCAUGGAGCUUAAAACUCAAUAUACACCCCUUUACACAUAAACCAACUCACCCAAGACACCUGUAUAUUAGCUUUAGGUUGGGGGGACCGCGGAGCAUAAUUAAACCUCCACGACAAACGGGCCACGCCCUUAUCCACGAAUUACCCCUCUAAGAAUCAGUAGACUGAUGUUUUAUGACCCAAUAUUUGAUCAACGAACUAAGUUACCCUGGGGAUAACAGCGCAAUCUACUUAAAGAGCCCCUAUCGACAAGUAGGUUUACGACCUCGAUGUUGGAUCAGGGUAUCCCAGUAGUGCAGCCGCUAA